CUUGCCUCCUGAGAGCACCGCUGGUCUAUCUCCCAGACAAGUUCAAGGAGCAAAGAAUUGAAAUACACCCUCCAGUAUUCUGCAAGUUACAGCUUCAUCUUGCUUAGGAAAUGAAGAUACCCAGGAUAACUCCACACCAUGCUGUGUGCCUAGAAAUUCCCGGAGGCUACUCCUGUCUCUCCUUAUUGUAUUAUGUGGCUGUCCUUGGUCCAGCAGAGCACUUCCUCUUCCUCUCCAGCCCAUCUGGCUGUGCAGCAUCACACUACAGAAACUCUUAUGCAGCACCAGAAGAAAAGAAAACAGCUGGGGAAAGGUUACCAUGUCACAUGCCCUCCUCCACAGAUGCUAUAAGCUGAUAUGUUCAGCUCUCAGUAUCCGGGGUAAUGAGGGCAAAGAAAGAAAAGCAAAACUAAUAAUACAAAAUAUAUGUAAAUAAGGCCCCAGGA